CACACGAGCACCAUCCAGGCACCCACCUCCACCCCCUUGUUGACUUGAUUAAGCAGCCCAAGAUUGCAUCGGCUCACACCAUUGGCUCAACCAAAGGUGGGGGCGGGACUAUUUGUUUGUCCAAACAAUGGAAAUGUUGGCCGAAACAUUGAAGGAGGGACCCAUACUCAACUGUGUGGUGUGAUGUGGAUUCAGUGCAGUGGUCUCCUGUUGUGUGUGAGGUGUGAAAGGCACUGCACACUUCUUGAGGAGUUGAGGACAGAUUGAGUUCUGUACUGCUGAACAGCUGUCAUUCCCUGCUCACUGUCAAACAACAUAUAGGGACGCCUGGGGUUCUGACAGCUCUACCACCAUCCACAACGUUUAUUUAUCUGAGGAGG
ensembl:lncRNA